rnacentral:lncRNA from 1 species
AAGGAAUAUCAAGUGCAACAAAGGGUCAACUUACAUAUUUUCCAUUUUCUUGGGGUCCUAGAAUAUGCAUUGGACAAAAUUUAGCCAUGUUAGAGGCAAAGAUGGCUGUGUCUAUGAUCCUACAAAGCUUCUCUUUCGAAUUGUCUCCAUCUGACACACAUGCUCCAUCUUUCUCUCUUUGUGGCUGCUAAAAACUCUUUUCUGGAUGGUGCAAUAAGUCCUAAAAAAUCUAUAUAAAUGCCCCAUAGCAAUGGAUUUAUGAACAAAAAUGGGUUGGUUCAAUUGAGUUUUAUUUAUUCACAUAUGAAGGGAAAACGAUCCAUAGCCCAAUAAUUCUCCCCCUCACGACUGUGUGGAGGAGACCAUCAUCCCGGUGAUCAUGCAACAAUCUUCAACUUCCCUCUAAAAAGUAGCAAAUUCUAAAAUUUUGUGAUUUUAAACUAAAUAUGUGUAUGUAUUAAAAUUCUCUUCGAAUCUCUUGAUUCUUGUUGAAAGUUGCUUUAAGAAUGCAACUGUUUUUUUUCCUUUUUUCUCCAGCAAUAUUUUUUUUAACGUACAAUCCUAGUUAAAUUAGGAGUCCUAUCUUUGGUAGGAAACUAGUUAGUUAUUCUAAUUUUGGUAGAAAUACGUGUUUCUUUGUCCUAUUUUUAGUUGUAAUAACAACUAUCUAAGUUGCUAAGUUGAUGAUCAAUUAUAGUCGGUCUUUCAACAAGAAAAUAAUCUCUCUCUGUCUCUCUACAUAUUCUCUUCUUCAAACUCCAUCUCUGUUUCUGCGUCCAGCUUUAAAUUGAAUUCCUGUGUUAUUUCCCUUUAACAGUUUUAAACCAACAAUUGGUAUCAAAGCUUUAAUCUUAAGGGACCUGUGAGUGUUGUGCAUCAAUCUGAUCUAGUGGAUACCAUGAAUGGAGAAACAAAUUCUUCUUCAAUGGCACCACCAACUUUCGAUAGAGAAAGUUAUCAAAUCCGGGCAGUUAGAAUGCGGAUAUAUCUACAAGCUUUGAAUCUCUGGGAAGCUGUUGAAGAUGAACACGAGAUAGCUCCCUUGCCAGACAAUUCCACGGUGGCGCAGAUUAAAACUCACAAGGAGAGAAAAACUAGGAAAUCAAAGGCAAUGACAUGCUUAUUUACUGUAGUUUCAUCUAAUAUCUUGACUCGUAUCAUGUCUCUACAAUCAGCAAAAGAGGUAUGGGAUUAUCUCAAGACUGAGUAUGAAGGAGAUGAAAGGAUUCGAGGGAAGCAAGUGGUGAAUCUGGUACGUGAGUUUGAGCUGCAAAGGAUGAAAGAAAGUGAAACCAUAAAGGAAUACUCUGACAGACUUCUUAAUUUAGCAAAUCACAUCAGAUUGUUGGGUUCCACUUUCAAUGAUUCAAGGAUCGUUGAAAAAAUCCUAUUAACGGUACCUGAAAGAUUUGAGGCUACCAUAACAACCUUAGAAAACACUAAGAACUUGUCUAAGAUCACACUUGCAGAGCUCUUAAGUGCUUUUCAAGCGUAAGAGCAACGGCGUAUUAUGAGACAAGGAGGAGCUGUCGAAGGUGCCUUACCAGCCAAACAUCACGAUGAUGGACGUUCUAAGAAGAAGAAGAAUAAGAAGUACCAACCAACUGAUGAAGAAGGUGCAACGCACAACAAUAAAAUCAAAACAGGUGGUUUCAAAGGAAACUACCCUCCUUGUAAGCAUUGCAGAAAGCUCGGACAUGCACCUUUCAAGUGUUGGGAGAGGGCUGAUGCUAAGUGCAGUAAGUGCAAUCAGCUUGGGCAUGAAGCGAUCAUCUACAAGAACAAAACUGAGCAGUAAGAUGCAGAGGCUCGAGUUGUUGAUGAACUGGAAGAAGAUCAACUCUUUGUCGCAUCAUGUUUAACAAGCAGUGUCUCAAGCGAAUCGUGGCUGAUCGAUAGCGGAUGCACAAAUAAUAUGACUUGUGAUAAAAAUCUUUUUAAAGAUUUGAGCCCUACUAAAGUUACAAAAGUUAUAAUCGGCCAUGGUGGUUAUAUUCCAGCAAAAGGAAUGGGAACCAUUACAAUUGAAACAUAAUCGGGCACUAAAAUAAUUUCUGAUAUUCUUUAUGUACUCGAUUUGGACCAAAACUUAUUAAGUGUUGGUCAGUUAUUAGAAAAAGAUUUCAAAUGUAUUUCAAAGAUAAACACUGUUUGAUCAAGAAAGCAUCUGAACAAGACCUAUUUAAAGUCAAAAUGAGAGGCAGAAGUUUCUCAUUAAAUCCAUUGGAAGAAGAACGCGGAUUUCACCCGUUGUGUGUGGAGCCACCUCUACUAAAAGAAGAUAUCAGACCUGAUGAUGAAGGCUGGAUUUGUCCUGGUUGUGAUUUCAAAGUUGACUGCAUUGACUUGCUUAAUGAUAGUCAAGGAACCGACCUUUCCUUCACUGACAGCUGGGAGAAAGUAUAUCCCAAGGAAGUUGUUGCUGCGUCUGGGGAGAAUCUAGAUGAUAUUUCUGAACUUCCAUCUGAUGACUUGAAGGAUGAUGACUUCAACCUUGAAAAUCCAGAUGUAAAAAAAAUGAUUUUGAAGUUGAGGCCAGUUCUGAUGAAUCUACAAAGUAUGGGACUUCACAAGCUUCCAAGAAAAACGCUCGUUAUCUAAUGGAAAAGAUAAUCUUGUUAAACUUUAGGAUGCCAAGUCAGGGAUGGAACUUUCGUCAUUUCACGGGCAUAAGAAUACCGUUCUCCGCGUGAAGUGGAAUCAGAAUGGUAACUGGAUUCUUUUUUGCUUCCAAGGAUCAAAUUAUCAAGCUUUAUGACAUAAGGUCUAUGAAGGAUCUUGAGUCAUUCCGUGGGCAUUAGAACGAUGUGAAAUUAUUGGCCUGGCAUCUGUUUCAUGAAGAAUAUUUAGUCAGCGGAACCUAUGAUGGUUCAAUAUUUCAUUGGCUUGUGGGUCAUGAAGCUCCUCAAGUAGAAAUUACAAAUGCACAUGAAACUGGUGUUUGGGAUCUUUCAUGGUACCCAAUUGGUUAUCUCCUUUGCAGUGGCAGCAAUGAUCAGACAACAAAGUUCUGGUGCAGAAAAAGGCCUGGCGACUCCGCUCGUGAUAAAUUCAAUCUAGGACAGCAAGGUUUGGGUGAUCAAAACAAUGUUCUUGGUCGCAUGCCUGGUAAUUUUCCAGGUCUUGAGUCCCCCUCAACUCGUGGAGCAUUUACCUCCGGUAUAUUAAAAACUGAGGGUACAAUACCUGGAGUUGGAACUGCAGUGCCUCUGUCUAUCCCAUUACUUGAUUCAUCACCUCAAGGAGAACAGAAGACUUCAAUGCCAAUUUCAAUGCUUUUAGGAGCUCCUCCUUUUUCUCAUGGUCCACAUCCAUCUCUUCUUGCAAGUAAUCAGCAACAAGAGUAUCAACAAAAUAUGCAGCAAGUUCAGCAGCAGCAGUCACUACCUCAACAAAUGACUUCUCUUCUUCUGAAGCCUUCAAAUUUGCCACAGUUAGAAGACCUGUUCACUAAGCCACUUCCAAUCAGCAAGUUCGAGCUUCUAAGGCAAAGAAUUGGUGUUUGCAUUUCAUAAAGCAAGGAGGAGUGUUGAAAGUUGCUUUAAGAAUGCAACUGUUUUUUUCUUUUUCCUUCAGCAGUUUUUUUUUACGUACAAUCCUAGUUAAAUUAGGAGUCCUAUCUUUGGUAGGAAACUAGUUAGUUAUUCUAAUUUUGGUAGAAAUAGGUUGUUUCUUUAUCCUAUUUUUAGUUGUAAUAGAAACUAUUUAAGUUGCUAAGUUGAUGAUCAAUUAUAGUCGGUCUUUCAACAAGAAAAUAAUCUCUCUCUGUCUCUCUGCAUAUUCUCUUCUUCAAACUCCAUCUCUGUUUCUGCGGCCAGCUUUAAAUUGAAUUCUUGUGUUAUUUCCCUUUAACGGUUAUAAACCAACAAUUCUAAACAUGUGAUGUGGGAUGUUGAAAAUAAAUACUCCGUCCAUUUCAAUUUGUUUGUCUCACUUUCCUUUGUGUCUUUAUGGAAAAGAAUAUCUACUCUUUUUUGGAAACAUUUUGAUUUCAAUUUUUCACAUUUUGUGUUCAAGACCAUAAGCUUAGAGAACAUUUUGGUACUUUUCACUUAUUUUUAUGAGCCUUCGUCCUGUUGUUGUUUUAUAAAAUUUCACAGUGAGUCAUAUGCCCAAAGUAGUUCCUGUGCUCACACUUGAUUACUGUUAACAUAUAUUUUCUCUUCUAGAUUCUCCGUGAAAUGUAUUGCUAUGAAUUCCCAUGAUUAUGUAUGAGUUGUUGCCCUAUUGCUAUAUAUUCACCAUAUCUUCGACGAAAUCAUAAUUCAUCCAAUAUGUAACUGAAUUCUAUAACUCGAUUAGCUUGACUUCGGUAUGAACAAAGAAGGAAACUAAAUAGUCGUGCAGUGGAUCAAGAAAACAGAAUAGUGCUACAGUGAAGCCAAAGGAAAAAAAAAUAGAACUGCAUCUCAAAAAAAAGGGUAGGUACUUCAAUUUUCUCAUUUUUACUUGUAUAUUUUGGUGUAUUAUAAAGAUAAUACGUGAACUGAAGUAUAAUUUAGAAUAAAAUUAUAUGUCAGGACCCAUAUUCUCCCCAUAGGAUUACAUUUUCAUAUUGUCUAUUAGAUUAUGGUUUAUGCGGUUGAAAGAUCUAUUUAUAUGAAUUGAUCAUCAAAGGCUGAGAAGAUUCAUUUUUUGAUGGGACUGGUGCACUGAGCAUCUAAAGAUGUUGAGCUCAAAAAAUAUUUGUACAAUAUUUCUUCUAAAAGGUUAGUCAUUUUAUCAAUAAGUUCAGGUUAACAACAACAGUCAUCUCAGCCCCAACAGCAAGCUCAGGCACGACAACAACUUAACAGCUCAGCCACGACGACAACACCUUCAAAGCAUGUAUCAAAGUAAUAGCUUUUGGAAAUAUCCAAUCUUUGUAUAGUAAAAGAGUAGGUAUACCACCUUGUCACCCGCAAAUGCCUCCUAUUUCGUCAUAUUCUCAGAUCCCUUUAACCAGGCCAUGGGAUAAACAAACGAGUAUGCAGAAUUUUUGUAAUCCAAGGCUAUCACAUUCACGAUCUUUAUCACAACCAGCUGUUCUUUGUUGAAGAAAAUUUGUUCUAUAACAGGUUGAUCCACAAAGUUGAUACUGUAAUUGAAACGGACAGGAAUAAGCAAUACCACAAAACGAAAGAAAAUAAGAAGAACACACAGAUUUUACAUGGAAAUCCUUGACAGGAAAAACUAGGGGUAGAGGAGGAGAAGAUUCACUAUGAUGAAGAGGAAUACAUGGAGGAGACGAAGGUUUCAAUGAUGUAUAUAAACUACCACAAACAACCCACUAAAUCACACUUAUAUAAUACGUGCGUACAAAUAAAUCCUAAGUCCAAAAAAUCUCAAACAUGGAUCGCAUCGCAAACUUUUUAGAGCCGGGUCAACAAAAUUCGGGUCACAAACUCUAACGGAUACAAUGUCCUUUAUAAUUGGAAACCAUCUCAUCAAUGUGUGUGGUUGCAUCCUUUGCUGUUUUUGUUAAACUCGUGUUUCAUUUGUUGAGCAUUACGUUCCUAAUGUAAGGAUUCUCACACACCAAAUGGUUCUUUGAUACCAAAUUUAGUGUAUAUUUUGAUGAAAUUGUUACUCAUGCAAUAAAGAGGAUAUAUUAAUUUCACUCGACAAGGAACAGAACAACUUAUUAUGUUCGUUUUACUGUCUAGGCACAGGACUUGGCGUAUGGAGGCCAGAGGGUACUUUAAUAAAGUGUAAGUCUCAUGCAAUUUCGGAAAUUGGGUAGUUGAGCAUCUUGUGAUUUUAUUAUUUACCCUGCUUUUUUUUUUUGAGGUCUGAGUCAUUUGUGCGUUAUAUGCAGGCUUCAUGUUGUUGCAUCAAACACCGUUAAUUGAAACAAAUGAUUCACUGCUAUUGUUCCUCUUUCUUCUUUUGUUUUGUUUGUGGGAGGUUUUCGUUAUAAUACAUGAGAUGGAAAAGCAGUCCUGAUUCUUCAUAAAUAGAGCCGUAUCUGCAAUUUCAGAUAAUAAUAAUGAAAUCCAUCUCUGUCCUAUAGUGCUCAAUAAUUUGGGCCAAAAUUGAAAUUGACGUAAUAUAAAAUAAUUUUUGACAAGAAAUCAUACCCGACAUAUAAUAGACAUGCAGCUUAUCUUUGCUCUUUUUAUCAGAUGAUAAAUUCAAAAAUAUAUGGCAGCAUGUUGUUCAGAAGGUUUGUAGAGAAAAGGAAAUCCUGAUUUUAUUGAUUGUAACAGGAAUCCAAAUCUAGAAAGGAUGUGUCCGGAUCACUUGAGCUGAUAAAAAUAUGUAUCCUCUCAAUGCAACAACUACUGCCAACAAAGGAUUAAACAGACAUUAAAAAUUCAAAUGGAACAGAACCUCUCGCUGCACGCAAUAGCGGAAAGCAAUACCGAACAGGCAUGGAUUGUGCUCACUUCCCUGCUCCUUCAACCCUAUAAUUGAAACAAGGAGUGCAAUUUGGAUAAACUUAGUAAUUUUGAAUUUAUCGAACCCAUUAUCCAGAAGGAUUUUGAUAUAGGAUUCAACUAGCAUAGGACAUUGUCUCGAUUGCAACAAAUACAUUUUUAUAUGGCCAUUGAUCAAAUAUCUCUCAACCUUGUGAUGCAUCAAAUUUCUUCAUUUAUGUAAAUAAGAUAUGCAUAAUUACAUAGUAAAACUUGAUUUUUCUACUUAUAAUUCUAACUGAUACAAUUUAGCUUAUAGUACAUAAACAUCUUGCUUUGAUAUUGAGCCUGUGCAGACACGGACCGCACACCUCUAGUCAUUAAUAAACAUGUGCCACUAUCAUAAUAAAAAAGUUGUGAAUAAUUAAUUAAAAUUUGAAAGAAAAUGACUCUUUGAAGUUUUUUUUAAGAAAAUCAGCCUAAUGCGCUAAGCUCGCGUCGUACACAAGGUUCGGGGAAGGGUUCGACCACUAGGGUAGUCUAUUGUACGAAACAUCACCUUAUAUUUCUACAAUGAGUCAUUCCACGACUUGAACCUAUGACCUCCUGGUCACAUUACAACAACUUUAUCAGUUACUUCAAAUCCUCCCCACUUUUUAAUUUUUUUAAAAAAUAAUUUUUAAAACUUGAAGUUGUGUUUAAACUUUAAACGGGAAAAUUUCAUCCAUGAUCACUUAACUAUGUAUCUAUUACUCAAAAGUCAUUUUUCUUUCAUUCAUUUCAUCCAUAGUCAUUUAACUUUACUUUGACCAUCACAAAAGUCACUAUGAUCGGAUUUUACAAUAAUUUCAUCGAAAAAAUGAUGUGGCAACCUUAAUUAAUUCUUAAUUUAAAUUUAAGUGAAUAUAUAAUAUAUUACUCAUAUCUUGACCCUUUUUACAUGUGCACAACACAAUUUUCCUUAUGGACUAUUUAAUGAAAGAAUACUAAUUUCUUGAUAGAUUAGAUUGCCUAGACUAUUUUAUUAAAAAAAUUUAGUUGAUAUUUUUAUGAAAUAAAAUUAUACUUAUAUAUUCUUAAAAUUCUCUAAAGUUGAGACAUGUGUUGGUAAAUUAUUUUUUCCUCUAAUAUGAUGGUAUGUAGUUGAUAAAAUUAUUUUUCUCCCUCUAAAAUUGUGACAUGUAGUUGACAAAAUAAUUUUUUUCAUACAUUUUUUUUCUCACCACUUGAGUCUUUGCAUUCGGUAUAUCAUAAUAAGAUGAUAAACUACUCUAUUUAUUGAGUUUAUCUUUAUAUUUUUAAUUGUUUGACUAAUCGAUUAAUUCUCUUAAAAGUUUUUAUUAUAAGAUUCAAUUUCUUAUGAAUUACAUAUUUUUAAUUAAUUUAAUUGAUAAAUAUAAAAAUUAGAUAUCCUAUAAUUUCUUUAUCUAUUAAAGUACUUAUAUUUUAUAACUUUUAUUAACAAAACUAUACGUUAAUAUAACAUUAUUUGUAAAAUUUUGACAAUACUUAUUCAAUGACACAAUUAAAAAAAAUGAUUUUAAAACUAUCUUUAGCAUGUUGAUUUAUCUUCAAAGAAUUAAAAUAUUUUUUUUUAAAAAAAUAAUAUCAUACAAGUAUUUCUAUUUUAUGUGUUUUGAAGAAUUUAUCUUAUUUAUCACUCUUUUUCGAUGCACCUUUUUGGUAGAUGAAUGCAAUAUUAUGAAAUAUUUCAUAAAAAUAACAAUCAAUUUUUUCUAUGAAAAUAGUCUAUUAAGAAAUUGGUAUUCUUUCAUUAAAUAAUCCAUAAGGAAAAAUUGGGUUUGCACAUAUAAAAAAGAUCAUAUUAUAUAUUCACUUAAAUUAAAAUUAAAUUUCUUUCCUACAUCUUAACUAAUGCAGCAUUCUGUUUUUCUGUUUUAUGUAAAACUAUUUCAAAAAUUUUUGCCAACAAAGAGGAACAGAAGAAUGAAGCAAAUAAACAAGGAUGUUCGGUCCUCAAUUCGAGGUAUUAUUGAUAAAAGAUUGAAGGCAAUGGAAGCAGGGGAGGCUGACAAUAAGGAUCUUUUAGGCAUAUCGCUUGAAUCAAAUUUUAAAGAAAUUGAACAGCAUGGGAACAAGAAGUUUGGAAUGACCAUUGAAGAAGUCAUUGAAGAAUGCAAGCUAUUCUAUUUUGCUGGCGCAGAAACAACAUCAGUACUACUCGUAUGGACUCUGAUGUUGUUGAGCAAAUAUCAAGACUGGCAGGCACGGGCCAGAGAAGAAGUCUUGCAAGUGUUUGAGAGUCGUAAACCAGAUUUUGAUGGAUUGAAUCGUCUAAAAGUUGUGAGUAUUGUGGUUUUAUUGGUUCAAUUUAUCUGCCAUGAGUUUCUACUCUCAUUGUUAUUGCAAUUGCUUGAGUUCUUAAAUUUUUAAAGUUGGGACUUUCUGAUACUAAUUUGAUAGCGGACCAGGGAGGGGGUUGGGGGGAGUAUUUUUCCAAGCGCAUGUGAAUUUAUUUUGAUCAUAGGUGGGAUGAGACUUGAACUUAAGAUUUCUAUGUUGGUUACAGGAUAGUGCAGUACUCCACCUGUAGAAAAUAGUGUAACAACAAAAUUGAAAAGAGCUUGGCGAGUAGCCCCAUAAUUUCAGGAUAAGGGUCGCCUCCUCACAGAAAAAGGUCGCAGCGAUCAGGCCCAGAAGACUGUUUACCAAAAAACACAGGUCUUGGCAGAGUCAUAAAACCAUGUAUAUAUGGGACGUCUUCCCACUCUUGAAGGUCAAAGAAGUUAGUGACCUGAUGAUAAGGGAGUAGGCGACCAAAUCCCCGGUGAACAGUGUCCAUAAGCCCGUAACUGCAAUAUUAAAUUUUACAUGUCUCAUUCAUUCUAGAUAUAAUUGAAGGAGGAGCAUUUUUAUGGCAGGUCAGGAUGAUCUUGUACGAAUCAUUAUGACUGUAUCCCCCAGGAACAUCAUAUAUCCGGCGGCUAAUAAAGACAUUGUUUUGGGAGACCUGUCUAUACCAGCUGAUGUACAAAUCUCUUUGCCAGUGCUCUUAUUGCAUCGUGAUAAAGAGAUAUGGGGUGAAGAUGCAAGAAUGUUCAAUCCAGAGAGAUUUAAAGAAGGAAUAUCAAGUGCAACAAAGGGUCAAGUCACAUAUCUUCCAUUUUCUUGGGGACCUAGAAUAUGCAUUGGACAAAAUUUUGCCAUGUUAGAGGCAAAGAUGGCUUUGUCUAUGAUCCUACAAAGCUUCUCUUUCCAACUGUCUCCAUCAUACACACAUGCUCCUCAAUCCAUAAUAACCUUGCAGCCUCAGUUUGGUUGCCCA